UACGUAGGGUGCGAGCGUUAAUCGGAAUUACUGGGCGUAAAGCGUGCGCAGGCGGUUAUGUAAGACAGUUGUGAAAUCCCCGGGCUCAACUUGGGAACUGCAUUUGUGACUGCAUCGCUGGAGUGCGGCAGAGGGGAUGGAAUUCCGCGUGUAGCAGUGAAAUGCGUAGAUAUGCGGAGGAACACCGAUGGCGAAGGCAAUCCCUGGGCCUGCACUGACGCUCAUGCACGAAAGCGUGGGGAGCAAACA
rnacentral:rRNA from 1 species